GACAUAGGUCGCAAGCGUUAAUCGGAAUUACUGGGCGUAAAGCGUGCGCAGGCGGUUAUGCAAGACAGAUGUGAAAUCCCCGGGCUUAACCUGGGAACCGCAUUUGUGACUGCAUAGCUGGAGUACGGCAGAGGGGGAUGGAAUUCCGCGUGUAGCAGUGAAAUGCGUAGAUAUGCGGAGGAACACCGAUGGCGAAGGCAGUCCCCUGGGCCUGUACUGACGCUCAUGCACGAAAGCGUGGGGAGCAAACAGG
rnacentral:rRNA from 1 species